UACGUAGGGGGCUAGCGUUGUCCGGAUUUAUUGGGCGUAAAGAGCGUGUAGGCGGCCAGGUAGGUCUGGUGUGAAAACUCGAGGCUUAACCUCGAGAUGUCAUCGGAAACCAUCUGGCUAGAGUCCGGAAGAGGAGAGUGGAAUUCCUGGUGUAGCGGUGAAAUGCGCAGAUAUCAGGAAGAACACCAAUGGCGAAAGCAGCUCUCUGGGACGGUACUGACGCUGAGGCACGAAAGCGUGGGGAGCAAACAGG
rnacentral:rRNA from 1 species